CGAAGUAUAGCAUAUAUAAUGCCCUUUACUUACACUAAAAUCAAAACUAAAUAGUUUACUUCGCCU
rnacentral:tRNA from 1 species